CGGAAGCAGAGUGAGGAGGGAUUCAUGGCCGGCGCCGGAGGAGAUCACUGCCGCCGCCGCCGCCGCGUCGACACCGCCGCAGUCGCCGGCGCUUCUCCUUCCGCAUCCCUCGAGAUAAUUCAGUGGAGUGGAGAUUCUUUCGUUUCCAAGUUCAUUCUAAGCAGAAACCAUGGGAGCAGAGCAGAUCGGAAAAUCGCCAACUAGGAUUACUUGCUGCUCAAUUUCCUGCGUGGAGAACUUGUGUAACUAGUGAUGGGUCUGUACAUAGGCGCCGCCACUGCUGGGAUCUUCAUGGCGAAUCCCGCUUCCCUCGGCCUCCUCGCCGUUGACGCAGGUACCCUUCCUCCUACCAUUCAGCCAUGUCCCAUGCUCGGUCCAGAGACGCUGUUCUGACAGUGGAAUUUCGUGCAAACAAGAAACAUGGUAUUCUAGGAUUACCCAUUGGAAUUUCGUUGCAGUUAAUUAGUACUCUCUGCUACUAGCACACAUGGUUAGAACAUAAUGUGAAACAGAGUAAAAAAGGCCACAAUGCCAUUGAAGGCCCUGCUUAUUCUUUGUCUCCAUUGUCGAGCUUCCUAUUGUCUUCCCCAUCUUAUCUUCACCAACCGCUCUUGAGGCCUUGAGGUUGGGACUUGCUGCAUUUUCUUAAACAAUAAACACGAUCCACACUAACCACGAUGAUGGCAUACAUUAUAUAUGCCCCACAUGACAACAUGGCGUGCUUAUAUAGUUAUAUAAGAAAAGUAUAUCAAGAUUUGUGAUUGGAUUAUCCGAGAAGUCCUUUACUUGUGUGCAGUCUACUUUAAUCACAGGUCAUCAGGAAACUUACUAAAAUUACCCUACCUUUUUGAAAAGCCAACACUAUUUUUAUUGCCUACAACGAAAAUAUUGGACAUAACCUAUUACUAUGAUAUACUCGAAAAAAGUCCAUUUCACUACCCUCAACAAAGUGGCUGGUUCACAUAACCCCCUGAUUAUUUUUUCAGUUCCCUUAACCCCCUAAUCUAUUCAGUACCGUUCAAAAUUCUUCUCUAAUGGGUUUGCUCAGAUUGUUUGCUGACAUGGACGUGGUCAAAGCGGUAUUUGACCAGCUAGUGGGUCCCUGGAAACCACGUCACAAUUUUGAGCCUUGUUUUUCUUCCACGCCGAGCUCUAAGCUGCUUCUUCCACGACCACCGCUUGUCUCCUCGUGGCCGGAAAAUACCCCAAGGCCAUCUAGCUUGUCCCUAAGUCCCGCCUCGUUCCCCCGUACCUCCACGUCAAGGGGAUCGGCUAGAGUGUCCCCUAGAGCGUCGCCCCCGAGCUCCCUCCCUCGCAUCCGACCACUGUUCUCUGCACUAAAUUGGGCGUCGGCGAGACGCCCGAGGACUCCCUACUCAAUGCUUCUGGUCCGCGGCACACUAGCCAGGAUCCUAGACAUCACCACGGCGAGCGCCGCUACUUCCUGUGCCUGCUGCACGUCGUCGUGCUCCGGCCAGCGCCUUGGUCGUCCACGGCCGCGCUCACCUACCUCCCAUGCCUCUUCUACAGCGCAGUGAAGACACUUCGGCCAGCGCCUCGGUCGUCCGCGCCGCGCUCACCGACCUCCCCUACAUCUUCUACAGAGCAGUAAAAUGAAUUGCAGCGGGCGGCAGAGCUUGGCCACGAUGGGAGAGGUCCUCGGAGAUGCGCAGCUCAAAAUGGAAGGGUUGUUCUGCUUCAGGGGAGCACCACGUUGCUCGGGAAACAGAGGAGAAGAAGCAGGGGUCGCCAGAGGAAGAGAUCGAGGCAGCAGGUUCUCCGUACGCCGCGGGGGUGCUCCUCCGAGGCAUGGCGUUAGUGCGAGCGCUUGGUGCGGCGGCAGGAGAUGGACCGUGUGCUCGGUCGCGUCAGGUUGGUAUCGUUGGUCAGCUCCUCGCCCUCGGCGUGUUCUAUGGCGCAUGGUCUUCUGACCUAGGCCGAUGCCCGUUUUUUGCAUGGCAGAGGAGAUGAUGUUGUCCUCCAUCCCGAGCUAGACGACGAGACGCGUGCCAUAGCGUGGCCUUGUGGAGAUUGGAUGGGCGGCUAGGCGAGAGGGAAGACAGAG